rnacentral:sRNA from 1 species
GAGUCGUCUGCGAACAGUGCUAACAUCAC